CCUACGGGUGGCAGCAGUGGGGAAGAGUGCACAAGGGGGGAAACCCUGAUGCAGCAACGCCGCGUGAGUGAAGAAGUAUUUCGGUAUGUAAAGCUCUAUCAGUAGGGAAGAAGAAAGACGGUACCUGACUAAGAAGCCCAGGCUAACUACGUGCCAGCAGCCGCGGUAAUACGUAGGGGGCAAGCGUUAUCCGGAUUUACUGGGUGUAAAGGGAGCGGAGACGGCUGUGUAAGUCGGAAGUGAAAGCCCGUGGCUCAACCGCGGAACUGCUUUUGAAACUGUAGAGCUUGAGUACUGGAGAGGCAGGCGGAAUUCCUAGUGUCGCGGUGAAAUGCGUAGAUAUUAGGAGGAACACCAGUGGCGAAGGCGGCCUGCUGGACAGCAACUGACGUUGAGGCUCUAACGCGUGGGGAGCAAACAGGAUUAGAUACCCCAGUAGUC
rnacentral:rRNA from 1 species